CCUACGGGUGGCAGCAGUGAGGAAUAUUGGUCAAUGGCCGGAAGGCUGAACCAGCCAUGCCGCGUGAAGGUCAGUGCCCUAUGGGCGUUAAACUUCUUUUGUGCGGGAGCAAUAAUGGUCACGUGUGGCCAGACGAGAGUACCGUACGAAUAAGCAUCGGCUAACUUCGUGCCAGCAGCCGCGGUUAUACGGGGGAUGCAAGCGUUAUUCGGAUUUUAUGGGUUUAAAGGGUGCGUAGGCUGUGUGGUAAGUCAGCGGGUAAAUGCUCGCGCUUAACGGGGUGAAGUGCAAUUGAUACUGGCAUGCUUGAAUGCGGAUGCGGUGGGAGGAAUGUGUGGUGUAGCGGUGAAAUGCAUAGAUAUCACACAGAACACCGAUUGCGAAGGCAUCUCACGAAUCCGCGAUUGACGUUGAUGCACGAAAGCGUGGGUAUCAAACAGGAUUAGAUACCCGUGUAGUC
rnacentral:rRNA from 1 species